AUUCUUCCCUUUUGUUUUUCAAAAAAUGUUUCUUUUCUCUCUGCGCAGAUUCUCCUAGUCCGGUCUAAGCUCCGGCAAACUGCCACCGUCCUCCGCCGCGGACGUCGUCGCCAGCCACCGUCGAGUUUCGAAAAAGGCAAACGGUGGUGGAGCAGAGGCCACUUGCAGGCGUCGGUGGUGGAUGGGGUGGGGAGCAUGUGCUGACGGCUAGGGUUUCCUUAGCUUCUUCUUUUGUUGUGUGUGUGGGCAUGGGUAGGUUUAAGGUUAUUGGCUUAGUGGGUUUAGGGGUUUUGGGCCAAAAAUUGAGCUUGUACACCUACUAGUUAUAUUUCUAUGCAAGGAAAGCUGGUAAAGUCACUAAAAACAAA